rnacentral:lncRNA from 1 species
UAUUUGUCUAGCUUUCCUUUUAUCUUACUUUCUACUUGCUUUUCGUCAAAUACAGUUGUCAUCACAUGCGCAGAUGAACUGGAUCGAUCUAUUCAGGUAAUCCAAUACUUUCAGUGCAACAAUGUGGUGAAACAGAAAUAUAUUUGCACAAAGAAUUUCACAGCUCAUGUGGAUGUAGCACUAAAUUUCUUUAUGCGCCGAGCUUGAACAGAACUCCCUGGUUGGAGAUGUGCGCUUAGCUUAUUAUUUUCUUGGAACAAUGAUUCACUUGAUUUUGGUUUGACGCAAACAUAUAGAUAGAUUUCACAAGGUAAUAGCAAGCCCAUGUGACCCUAUAUGCAAUCUCUGUUUGUAGAUGCUCUAUAUUAUGACAUUUAUCUAAUUAAAAUUUACUGAAAUAAAAACGGCUACGGUGUAACUUAUAGAUCAUUUUUUUGUAGGUUAAAUCUAGGAAAUCGUAUGUCGUCAAAACUCUAACAAGCCAUCAGAUUGUUAUGACAGUAUCGUUACUGCAAUGAAAAAUCACUUCACAAGAUUCAUAUUCUCAUUCUAAUGACCAAUACAAACAAAGUAUAUCGCAAUUUCUGUGUGUUGGAAGGAGAAACUCACACACAAGAAAAGCUAUGGUAUUUCAUGUUAAGCUUGCAUGUACAGACCUGCAAUGAUUGAGUUAGUUCAAAUUAUUGUGUGCUAUAUUACUAACCUGCUCUUUGUAGUUUGUAUUUAUGGACAUAUAUCAUGCUGUUUUAUGGUCAUUUUAAUAAUGUUUCCCUUUUCAAAUAUUUGUUAUGAUGAUGUAUAAUUAGGUUAGCUUGAAAAAGGGAGGAUGAUGCUAUUAGCUAUUCUUGAGCUAGGAGCUCCUAAUUAAGUGUCCUUUUAGUUUCCGUAUUACGGCUUUGUUGUACUGAUAGAACAGUAGGUUGGCACUUCUUCUGUCAUGUUAUUUUUUUAGCCAUUGCCCUUUUCUAGCUAAUAGUGUGGUACUAUUCUGUUACAAAGUAAAUUCUUUUCCGAGAUCACACUUUCAUAUUUGGUUUCGAAAAUAAUUGUCUUUUGUGAAGAUCCAUCUCUGAAUAUUUUAGUUAAUGAACAGCAGUCUUACUGCCUAAUCUUAAACUAAUUGUUUGAACUUUUCAUAGAGAUCAGAAUUGUACAUAGACAGCUGGUUAUAAACUUAAUAAUUGAUGACUGGAUGUUUUGUACAAAACUCUGCUUAAGUACGGUUUCAGAUGGUGAAUAAAUUAAUGAAGAACGUUUCUUAUGCAUGUGGAAUCACCUGGUAAUUUUCUUAGGAACGCGGUUUUCCUAUUCCACAGUGAAAUCUGAGGUUGCCUUUAAACUACAACAAAGGAACUGGUGAUGCUGCCAUUGUGUGGCCUCUUACGAUAUAUUUUUGGACCUGUUACUAGAUGGCACACGCAUUAGCUGCCAUAAGAAACAAAUCAUUUUUUAUUUUAAUAUGUCAGCUGAGACGCGUUUGACUACCUUCUUACUUAUUAUGCAGGGCACCAAGUAACGAAUAAUUGGAUCUCAAAGCUCAUAUAUGAAGCACCGAUCUUGGUAGUGGCAUAAAUGGAAGAUGAGAUCUAUGAAUAACAAAUACAAUAAUUACCUGUAGUUUCUAUAAUUUUCAAAGUUUGUAUUCUCUUCAAGAUUUUCAGUCGUUCAAGCUCACAAAUAAGAUACAUAUGGGCAUCAAUUCUAUCAGGUUUUUACACACAUGCUUCAUUUUUGAAGUAAAGAAGCAAGGGAAAACGCAGGUAAAUGCACCAAAAAUGAGAUGUCAUCAAAAGUGUUUAAGUUAUUGGAACAUCACUUUUUAUGAUUUCGUGUACAUCUGAAUUUGUAUUUGUUAGCAUUAAUCAUGGAAAAAAUAAACAAUUUUCUUUCCCUAUAUAAGCAAUCAUAAAUUUGCAUGUUUCCAAUAAAACAAGUGGGUAAAUGUAGUACUUUUAUAUUUUAUAUCUCUAAAUAUGGUUUAUCAAAUAAAUGCUUUAGUACCUAUAUAGACUAGGCCGUGCGGAUGCACGGG